AUUGAACGCUGGCGGCAGGCCUAACACAUGAAAGUCGAGCGGAGAGGCGGACGGGUGAGUAAUGCCUAGGACGCUGCCUGGUCGUGGGGGAUAACGUCCGGAAACGGGAGCUAAUAACGCAUACAAACAGAUGAGCAGAGCGCGGAUUACCUAGUUGGUGGGGUAAAGGCCUAACAAGGCGACGACCCGUAACUGGUCUGAGAGGAUGAUCAGUCACACUGGAACGUCGACACGGUCCAGACUCCGACGGGAGGCAGCUGUGGGGAAUAUUGGACAAUGGGCGAAAGCCUGAUCCAGCCAUGCCGCGUGUGUGAAUAAGGUCUUCGGAUUGUAAAGCACUUUAAGUUAGGAGGCGUUACCAACAGAAUAAGCACCGGCUAACUUCGUGCCAGCAGCCGCGGUAAUUC
rnacentral:rRNA from 1 species